CCCCUCGCAGGGUCGCACCUCAAGAGUUUCCAGUACUCUACCAGACUCGGCUACGGGAGGGAGAGUCAAGCAGAGGUCUACCCAUUCCGUUACUAGCUUGCGGAGUGGCUAGCGAGUGGAAGGCAAUCUGCUACAAAU